rnacentral:rRNA from 1 species
CCAGGAUGUUGGCUUAGAAGCAGCCAUCAUUUAAAGAAAGCGUAAUAGCUCACUGGUCGAGUCGGCCUGCGCGGAAGAUGUAACGGGGCUAAACCAUGCACCGAAGCUGCGGCAGCGACACUAUGUGUUGUUGGGUAGGGGAGCGUUCUGUAAGCCUGUGAAGGUGGCCUGUGAGGGUUGCUGGAGGUAUCAGAAGUGCGAAUGCUGACAUAAGUAACGAUAAAGCGGGUGAAAAGCCCGCUCGCCGGAAGACCAAGGGUUCCUGUCCAACGUUAAUCGGGGCAGGGUGAGUCGACCCCUAAGGCGAGGCCGAAAGGCGUAGUCGAUGGGAAACAGGUUAAUAUUCCUGUACUUGGUGUUACUGCGAAGGGGGGACGGAGAAGGCUAUGUUGGCCGGGCGACGGUUGUCCCGGUUUAAGCGUGUAGGCUGGUUUUCCAGGCAAAUCCGGAAAACCAAGGCUGAGGCGUGAUGACGAGGCACUACGGUGCUGAAGCGACAAAUGCCCUGCUUCCAGGAAAAGCCUCUAAGCAUCAGGUAACAUCAAAUCGUACCCCAAACCGACACAGGUGGUCAGGUAGAGAAUACCAAGGCGCUUGAGAGAACUCGGGUGAAGGAACUAGGCAAAAUGGUGCCGUAACUUCGGGAGAAGGCACGCUGAUAUGUAGGUGAAGCGACUUGCUCGUGGAGCUGAAAUCAGUCGAAGAUACCAGCUGGCUGCAACUGUUUAUUAAAAACACAGCACUGUGCAAACACGAAAGUGGACGUAUACGGUGUGACGCCUGCCCGGUGCCGGAAGGUUAAUUGAUGGGGUUAGCGGUAACGCGAAGCUCUUGAUCGAAGCCCCGGUAAACGGCGGCCGUAACUAUAACGGUCCUAAGGUAGCGAAAUUCCUUGUCGGGUAAGUUCCGACCUGCACGAAUGGCGUAAUGAUGGCCAGGCUGUCUCCACCCGAGACUCAGUGAAAUUGAACUCGCUGUGAAGAUGCAGUGUACCCGCGGCAAGACGGAAAGACCCCGUGAACCUUUACUAUAGCUUGACACUGAACAUUGAGCCUUGAUGUGUAGGAUAGGUGGGAGGCUUUGAAGUGUGGACGCCAGUCUGCAUGGAGCCGACCUUGAAAUACCACCCUUUAAUGUUUGAUGUUCUAACGUUGGCCCGUAAUCCGGGUUGCGGACAGUGUCUGGUGGGUAGUUUGACUGGGGCGGUCUCCUCCUAAAGAGUAACGGAGGAGCACGAAGGUUGGCUAAUCCUGGUCGGACAUCAGGAGGUUAGUGCAAUGGCAUAAGCCAGCUUGACUGCGAGCGUGACGGCGCGAGCAGGUGCGAAAGCAGGUCAUAGUGAUCCGGUGGUUCUGAAUGGAAGGGCCAUCGCUCAACGGAUAAAAGGUACUCCGGGGAUAACAGGCUGAUACCGCCCAAGAGUUCAUAUCGACGGCGGUGUUUGGCACCUCGAUGUCGGCUCAUCACAUCCUGGGGCUGAAGUAGGUCCCAAGGGUAUGGCUGUUCGCCAUUUAAAGUGGUACGCGAGCUGGGUUUAGAACGUCGUGAGACAGUUCGGUCCCUAUCUGCCGUGGGCGCUGGAGAACUGAGGGGGGCUGCUCCUAGUACGAGAGGACCGGAGUGGACGCAUCACUGGUGUUCGGGUUGUCAUGCCAAUGGCACUGCCCGGUAGCUAAAUGCGGAAGAGAUAAGUGCUGAAAGCAUCUAAGCACGAAACUUGCCCCGAGAUGAGUUCUCCCUGACUCCUUGAGAGUCCUGAAGGAACGUUGAAGACGACGACGUUGAUAGGCCGGGUGUGUAAGCGCAGCGAUGCGUUGAGCUAACCGGUACUAAUG